rnacentral:lncRNA from 1 species
GCUGAAUGGUUAUGCUCUGCUGUAAUGUUUCUGCCUCACCUUAGGCCUAAAACUAUGAAACCAGCUUACCAUGGACGGCAACCUCUGAAACUGGAAACUAAAACAAAUCUUUUCUCUUUUAAGUUGUUUUUCCCAGAUGUUUUGUCACAGCAAGAGACACCUGCUGAUCACAGUGUCAUGCUUCUGAAAUGUGUCUGUGCAGUGAGCUGCCACUUCAGCCCAGGACUUGGAAGGGCUCUCUGGUCAUUACCUUGAGCAUGGCUUCCCGACUCCGGUGCAGAUCACUCAGGCUGCUGGCACAGAUCCUUCAUUCUGCUGGCACAGACUCUGUAGCUUCUACCACUGACCUUUGGGCCCUCCCAGAGCAGAUCCUUGAUACAGACUUGCAUGAGACAUUGUUGUGGAUGCUGGGCCUCCAGAUGGACUUGUGGAGGACAUUACAAUGUGUUCUAGAUCAUGAAAGACAUUUCUGUGGGAUGCAGGCCCUCAGCUGACUCCUUGUGUCUCCAGUGUGUGGACAGAUCUCCUGCACUGUUUUGUAUUUGACUCUUUAGAUGAAUAUUAGAAAAUAAAC